rnacentral:tRNA from 1 species
GGUGGUUUGGCUGAGUGGUCUAAGACGUCAGAUUUAGGCUCUGGUUUAAAAGGGCGUGGGUUCAAAUCCUACAGCCAUCA